rnacentral:rRNA from 1 species
CCUACGGGUGGCAGCAGUGGGGGAUAUUGGACAAUGGGGGAAACCCUGAUCCAGCGACGCCGCGUGAGUGAAGAAGUAUUUCGGUAUGUAAAGCUCUAGCAGCAGGGAAGAAAGAAAUGACGGUACCUGAGUAAGAAGCCGCGGCUAACUACGUGCCAGCAGCCGCGGUAAUACGUAGGGGGCAAGCGUUAUCCGGAAUUACUGGUUGUAAAGGGAGCGUAGACGGGAAUGCAAGUCUGGAGUGAAAGGCGGGGGCCCAACCCCCGGACUGCUCUGGAAACUGUGGAACUAGAGGGCAGGAGAGGCAAGCGGAAUGCCCAGUGUAGCAGUGAAAUGCGUAGAUAUUAGGAGGAACACCAGUGGCGAAGGCGGGCUGCUGGACAGUAACUGACGCUGAGGCACGAAAGCGAGGGGAGCAAACAGGAUUAGAUACCCCAGUAGUC